rnacentral:rRNA from 1 species
GCCUACGGGGGGCAGCAGUGGGGAAUAUUGGGCAAUGGGCACAAGCCUGACCCAGCAACGCCGCGUGAAGGAAGAAGGCUUUCGGGUUGUAAACUUCUUUUGCCAGGGAAGAGCAGAAGACGGUACCUGUCGAAUAAGCCACGGCUAACUACGUGCCAGCAGCCGCGGUAAUACGUAGGGGGCGAGCGUUGUCCGGAAUCACUGGGCGUAAAGGGCGCGUAGGCGGUAAUAUAAGUCAGAUGUGAAAGGCGGGGGCUCAACCCCUAGAGUGCAACUGAUACUGUAUAACUUGAGUGUGAGUGAGG